ACGGCCGUCCGAGUUGUAAUCUAGAGAGGUGUUUUCCGUGCCGGACCGUGUACAAGUCCCUUGGAACAGGGCGUCAUAGAGGGUGAGAAUCCCGUCCAUGACACGGACUCCCGGUGCUCUGUGAUACACCUUCAAAGAGUCGAGUUGUUUGGGAAUGCAGCUCAAAACGGGUGGUAAAUUCCAUCUAAAGCUAAAUACAGGCGAGAGACCGAUAGCGAACAAGUACCGUGAGGGAAAGAUGAAAAGAACUUUGGAAAGAGAGUUAAACAGUACGUGAAAUUGUUGAAAGGGAAACGCUUGAAGUCAGUCGCGUUUGCCAGGACUCAGCCUUGCUUCUGCUUGGUGCACUUCCUGGUGGAUGGGCCAGCAUCGAUUUUGGUCGCCGGAAAAGGGCGGGAGGAAUGUGGCAGCUUGCUGUGUUAUAGCCUCCCGUCGUACACGGUGGUUGGGAUCGAGGACUGCAGCACGCCUUUUGGUCGGGGUUCGCCCACGCCACGUGCUUAGGAUGCUGGCGUAAUGGCUUUAAACGACCCGUCUUGAAACACGGACCAAGGAGUCUAACAUGCCUGCGAGUGUUUGGGUGUCAAACCCAGGCGCGUAAUGAAAGUGAAAAGUUGGGACUCUUUAGUGAGGCACCGACGCCCGAUCCUGACGUUUUCUGACGGAUUUGAGGCAGAGCAUGUAUGUUGGGACCCGAAAGAUGGUGAACUAUGCCUGAAUAGGGUGAAGCCAGAGGAAACUCUGGUGGAGGCUCGUAGCG
rnacentral:rRNA from 1 species